rnacentral:misc_RNA from 1 species
GAACGCACAUUGCGCCCCUUGGUAUUCCGGGGGGCAUGCCUGUUCGAGCGUCAUCAAAACCCUCAAGCUUAGCUUGGUGUUGGGGCCUACCUCUUGGUAGCCCUUAAAAUCAGUGGCGGUGCCAUCUGGCUCUAAGCGUAGUAAUUCUUCUCGCUACAGGGUCCUGGUGAACACUUGCCAACAACCCCUAAUAUUCUAUGGUUUGACCUCGGAUCAGGUAGGGAUACCCGCUGAACUUAAG